UACAGAGGGUGCAAGCGUUUAAUCGGAAUUACUGGGCGUAAAGCGUGCGCAGGCGGUUUUGUAAGUCUGUCGUGAAAUCCCCCGGGCUCAACCUGGGGAAUUGCGAUGGAGACUGCAAGGCUAGAAUCUGGCAGAGGGGGGUAGAAUUCCACGUGUAGCAGUGAAAUGCGUAGAGAUGUGGAGGAACACCGAUGGCGAAGGCAGCCCCCUGGGUCAAGA
rnacentral:rRNA from 1 species